AUUUUACUUUAUAUGUUUUAUAUUCAUUCUGUUUGGUAUGUGAGCUUUGCUUGUUGUUUGCAGGCUAUCAAAAAAUUGAUGUUAGCAAAUCUAACACAAAAGUGCUGAGUAUACAAUGAAGCUGAUGAGAGCAAUCCAGGAGAGUGUGGUUGUUAGGACUAAUGGAGAGUGAAUAUCCAGAUUUCAGCAUUGAAGAGAAGUUAAAUGCUUUUGUUGCGUUGAUUGAUCUACUCAGAGUUGGUUCCAGUAUCAAAAUGGAGGGCUAAAGAUACAACCCAGAUUCAGAGUCAGCCCUUGAAUUUCUUGCCAAAACACUGCCAACGGGCUGUGGUGACAUUAGGCUCCAAAGGCUGCAACGCGAAACACGGAAAAGAGGCAUGUUCUAUGUGCCGUGUCUUCCCACUUGACGUUUUAGUUCCAACUCUAACCACCAAAGUGGAAACAAGAAGCAUCAGAUGAAUAUCACAAGGGCAAUGAGUAAUGUCAGACAAACCAAAAUCAUUAUAUGAGAUCUUUGCUACUGUAUAUAAUUUUCCAAAAUUCUAUCUGCGACAUUGACGAGGAGGAGGCCCCGGCAAAAGUUCUAUCAGCGCUCAUGACAUAUGCUGGAAAUUGGAGAAUUUUCUGGAAGGAAGAAAAGGGAACAGUUUCUGCAGUUAAACUCUUGCAUCCAUUUGUGCAAAACCUGGAUAAGUAUUUGGUGUCCAUAUUAGCACAGCAGUGAUGCCUUCUAUGAAAUGCCAGAAACAAAUGGUGGUGGCCUGUGCACGUGGUUAUUUGCAGAAGCUCGUCGGGUGGGCUGGCGCAAGUUUAUGGGGACUCUUUCUCAGGCCUUAAGUUGAGCAACAGCAGAAGAGGUGACCGAGUUUGGAUACUGUUGAUCUGCUAUCAAAAAAUUUAUGUUAGCAAAUCUAACACAAAAGUGCUGAGUAUACAAUGAAGCUGAUGAGAGCAAUCCAGGAGAGUGUGGUUGUUAGGACUAACUAACGGAGAGUGAAUAUCCAGAUUUCAGCAUUAAAGAGAUGUUAAAUGCUUUUGUUGCGUUGAUUGAUCUACUCAGAGUUGGUUCCAGUAUCAAAAUGGAGGGCUAAAGAUACAACCCAGAUUCAGAGUCGGCCCUUGAAUUUCUUGCCAAAACACUCCAACGGGCUGUGGUGACAUUACGCUCCAAAGGCUGCAACGCGAAACACGGAAAAGAGGCAUGUUCUGUGUGCCGUGUCUUCCACUUGACGUUUUAGUUCCAACUCUAACCAUCAAAGUGGAAACAAGAAGCAUCAGAUGAAUAUCACAAGGGCAAUGAGUAAUGUCAGACAAACCAAAAUCAUUAUAUGAGAUCUCUGCUACUGUAAGUCUGUAUAUAAUUUUCCAAAAUUAUAUCUGCGACAUUGGCGAGGAGGAGGCUCCGGCAAAAGUUCUAUCAGCGCUCAUGAAAUAUGCUGGAAAUUGGAGAAUUUUCUGGAAGGAAGAAAUGGGAACAGUUUCUGCAGUUAAACUCUUGCAUCCAUUUGUGCAAAACCUGGAUAAGUAUUUGGUGUCCAUAUUAGCACAGCAGUCAUGCCUUCUAAGAAAUGCCAGAAACAAAUGGUGGUGGCCUGUACACGUGGUUAUUUGCAGAAGCUCGUCGGUGGGGUGGCGCAAGUUUAUGGGGACUCUUUCUCAGGCCUUAAGUUGAGCAACAACAGAAGAGGUGACCGAGUUUGGAUACUGUUGAUCUGCUAUCAAAAAGUUGAUGUUAGCAAAUCUAACACAAAAGUGCUGAGUAUACAAUGAAGCUGAUGAGAGCAAUCCAGGAGAGUGUGGUUGUUAGGACUAACGGAGAGUGAAUAUCCAGAUUUCAGCAUUGAAGAGAAGUUAAAUACUUUUGUUGCGUUGAUUGAUCUACUCAGAGUUGGUUCCAGUAUCAAAAUGGAGGGCUAAAGAUACAACCCAGAUUCAGAGUCGGCCCUUGAAUUUCUUGCCAAAACACUGCCAACGGGCUGUGUGACAUUAGGCUCCAAAGGCUGCAACGCGAAACACGGAAAAGAGGCAUGUUCUAUGUGCCGUGUCUUCCACUUGACGUUUUAGUUCCAACUCUAACCACCGAAGUGGAAACAAGAAGCAUCAGAUGAACAUCACAAGGGCAAUGAGUAAUGUCAGACAAACCAAAAUCAUCAUAUGAGAUCUCUGCUACUGUAUAUAAUUUUCCAAACUUCUAUCUGCGACAUUGACGAGGAAGAGGCUCCGGCAGAAGAUCUAUCAGCGUUCAUAUGCUGGAAAUUGAAGAAUUUUCUGGAGGGAAGAAAAGGGAACAGUUU